rnacentral:rRNA from 1 species
GAUGAACGCUGGCGGCGUGCCUAAUACAUGCAAGUCGAGCGAACAGACGAGGAGCUUGCUCCUUUGACGUUAGCGGCGGACGGGUGAGUAACACGUGGAUAACCUACCUAUAAGACUGGGAUAACUUCGGGAAACCGGAGCUAAUACCGGAUAACAUGUUGAACCGCAUGGUUCAACAGUGAAAGACGGUCUUGCUGUCACUUAUAGAUGGAUCCGCGCCGCAUUAGCUAGUUGGUAAGGUAACGGCUUACCAAGGCAACGAUGCGUAGCCGACCUGAGAGGGUGAUCGGCCACACUGGAACUGAGACACGGUCCAGACUCCUACGGGAGGCAGCAGUAGGGAAUCUUCCGCAAUGGGCGAAAGCCUGACGGAGCAACGCCGCGUGAGUGAAGAAGGUCUUCGGAUCGUAAAACUCUGUUAUUAGGGAAGAACAAAUGUGUAAGUAACUAUGUACGUCUUGACGGUACCUAAUCAGAAAGCCACGGCUAACUACGUG